AUUGGACGCUGGCGGCAUGCCUUACACAUGCAAGUCGAACGGCAGCACGGGCUUCGGUCUGGUGGCGAGUGGCGAACGGGUGAGUAAAGCAUCGGAACGUACCCGGAAGUGGGGGAUAACGUAGCGAAAGUUACGCUAAUACCGCAUAUUCUGUGCGCAGGAAAGAGGGGGAUCUUCGGACCUCUUGCUUUCGGAGCGGCCGAUGUCAGAUUAGCUAGUUGGUGGGGUAAAGGCCUACCAAGGCGACGAUCUGUAGCGGGUCUGAGAGGAUGAGCCGCCGCAAGGGGACUGAGACACGGGCCAGACUCCUACGGGAGGCAGAAGUGGGGAAUCUUGCGCAAUGGGCGAAAGCCUGACGCAGCAACGCGGCGUGCGGGAAGAAGGCCUUCGGGUUGUAAACCGCUGUCAGGAGGGACGAAGCCACUCAGGUGAAUAGCCGAGAGGGUGACGGUACCUCCACAGGAAGCCCCGGCUAACUACGUGCCAGCCGCCGCUGUAA
rnacentral:rRNA from 1 species